rnacentral:tRNA from 1 species
GGAUUGUGGCUCAGAGGUAGAGCACUUGCCUAACAUGUGUGAGGCACUGGGUUUAAUUCUCAGCACCA